AAAUUAUCUCAGGUUCCAUCUUUUUCUACAAAUCACCCAAUAUUUCUACAUAUGACGAUAAUACCCCUAUAUAAAUAUAACAUAUUUAUCUUUUUUUUUAUAGAGAACAACUUGGUUGGAAUAUUUUACAUGUGCAUACCUACAGGAAUUGCCCUUGGUUAUGUUUAUGGUGGAUGGGUAAAUUUGGCAAGAGAACAUGUUGGUUUAUGAAAUCCUUCAUUUAUUUUCAUGAUAUUAUCCAAACAAUUUAAUUUCCAAUUCCAAAAAUUUAUUUCUUGUUAACUUAUUUACAAAGUUUUCUUCCUCGUUCUCAAGGAAUUGGGCCCACACAAGGUUGGAGCACUUAUAUAGGAAGGGAAGUUUGAGCUCGGUAAGUUCGAGCAGCAUCUAUGGUGGCCCGGGCAGCAUCUAUUUCAAUAUUGAUUGUGUGAAAUUCAUCUACUAAAGCAAGGUUGGUGUAAGAGUUUAUGAUGAGAACAUUGUUCCAAGACCUUCAGUGAGUUAUGAUGAUGUACCUUAAUAGCAACGUAGUAUUAGGUUAUGUAGUUAGCGAUGAUUAUUUGUAUUUGACAUUUUAGUGCAAUGAAUUAUCUUUCUUAUUUAUAGUAUUUUAUUA